rnacentral:rRNA from 1 species
GAUGAACGCUAGCGGGAGGCCUAACACAUGCAAGCCGAGCGGUAUUUCUUCUUCGGGAGAGAGAGAGCGGCGUACGGGUGCGGAACACGUGUGCAACCUGCCUUUAUCUAGAGGAUAGCCUUUCGAAAGGAAGAUUAAUACUCUAUAAUAUAUUAAUUGGCAUCUAUUGAUAUUGAAAACUCCGGUGGAUAGAGAUGGGCACGCGCAAGAUUAGCUAGUUGGUGAGGUAACGGCUCACCAAGGCAAUGAUCUUUAGGGGGCCUGAGAGGGUGAUCCCCCACACUGGUACUGAGACACGGACCAGACUCCUACGGGAGGCAGCAGUGAGGAAUAUUGGUCAAUGGGUGCAAGCCUGAACCAGCCAUCCCGCGUGAAGGAUUAAGGUCCUAUGGAUUGUAAACUUCUUUUGUAUAGGGAUAAACCUACCCUCGUGAGGGUAGCUGAGGGUACUAUACGAAUAAGCACCGGCUAACUCCGUGCCAGCAGCCGCGGUAACAC